GUGACCUCAAAUCAGGUAGGACUACCCGCUGAACUUAAGCAUAUCAAUAAGCGGAGGAAAAGAAACUAACAAGGAUUCCCAUAGUAACUGCGAGUGAAGCGGGAAAAGCUCAAAUUUAAAAUCUGGCAGC
rnacentral:rRNA from 1 species